ACGGCUGCUGAUUUCACACACAGCCAGUCCAACCCUCCAGUUCCAAGUGAAGUCUACCUGUCCUGAGUCCUUGUUCUCCUCAGAUGACCUGUGCACAAACUAGGGAAGCCAACUAGCCUGGCCAACUGGUCAAACACCGAGAGGUCCCAAGUAGAAGGGUAUGAGCCACCCAUACCACUGGCAAUCAGGGUGGCUGACUUGUCAAGCUGCUACUUGUCCCAUGGCCCACUCCUCCAACUUAGUAAUUCUUACGUCCUUUAACUCAUCCAGCAACCAGGUCCGACCAUCUGACAAAAUCCGUUUAUGCUCAGAUGAGCCUAAUCCCUUGGGUCAAAUCAGCAGCUCCUGCCACUGAAAUACCAUUUUAAAAACUAGAAAGUGGGUGCCAAAGAGAGGGACGGUAGAAUCCAACUUGGA